UUCUUCAAGUAAUUUUUCAUAUUCUUGUUCGGAGGUACAGGCAGCCAUAUGGGCCAUAAUUUGUUGUUUUCUGGCUAAAAAGGUUUCUUGUUUGGUAAUAACGGCUGGGUUAGGUGUUUUGCAAUAUUGUGGAUUGUUUACAAAAAACUGGUCUACUGCUAUUUGGUCGCAACCUUGGAGAUUAGUUUUAGUCCACCAUUUAGUUUUGUAUUUUCUGACUAACAUAGGAAUUUGGAAAUUAUCAAUGACUUGGUCUUUAAUAUGAUAUUCAGUCAUGAAAAUCCAAGGUAUAUGAAAGUAAUGGGAGUAAAUAAGCCACUGAGGAGAGCAAAUAAUGGUUUCUGGUAAGUGCUAUUUAUCAAAAAAUUGGGUUUUAGCAGGUUUAAUUUGAUCUGGGAUAAUAUCAUCAUGGAUACCAAAUUUGUUCCACCAUUGGUGAAACCAGAAUGGAAUAGGAUAAGUAAAAUUGUCAGAGAUAUAAAAGAAGAAAGAUAUGGAUAAUUGUUCAUUUUGCUUGAAAAAUGUUCUUUCCCAA
rnacentral:lncRNA from 1 species